AUUGAACGCUGGCGGCAUGCCUUACACAUGCAAGUCGAACGGUAACAGGUCUUCGGAUGCUGACGAGUGGCGAACGGGUGAGUAAUACAUCGGAACGUGCCCGAGAGUGGGGGAUAACGAAGCGAAAGCUUUGCUAAUACCGCAUACGAUCUCAGGAUGAAAGCAGGGGGCCGCAAGGCCUUGCGCUCACGGAGCGGCCGAUGGCAGAUUAGGUAGUUGGUGGGAUAAAAGCUUACCAAGCCGACGAUCUGUAGCUGGUCUGAGAGGACGACCAGCCACACUGGGACCGAGACACGGCCCAGAAUACUACGGGAGGCAGGAGUGGGGAAUUUUGGACAAUGGGGGCAAGCCUGAUCCAGCCAUGCCGCGUGCAGGAUGAAGGCCUUCGGGUUGUAAACUGCUUUUGUACGGAACGAAAAGACUCCUUCUAAUAAAGGGGGUCCAUGACGGUACCGUAAGAAUAAGCACCGGCUAACUACGUGCCAGCCGCCGCCGUAACAC
rnacentral:rRNA from 1 species